CCCCAAAUGGGGUCCCGACCCACAGGUUGAGAACCACUGGGGUAGGGUCUCCUGCUCAAGCAGAGUAUUGGACUGGAAGACCUCCCUGGUCCCUGCCAACUCUAAAUAUUCUCUUCUGUUGGUAUCUAGAUUGACUGGAAGGGGCACACACUCAAAGUUACAAAAUUCAGAAAAGGAUUGUCUUGCACGUACACUUCUUGCUCCCCCCGGAUGAGCUCCCUGGUGUUUUCUGUUUAAAAACCACAAACAUAUUCUCUCAUCACAAACAGCGCGGAUAAUUGGCUGGAGAGCUCGGAGGUGUUGACAAGGAGUUAGCGUAUAGAAAAUUAUAUUUUAUUGGGAAGCUUUUAAAAAUCAUUGGAAUUUUUAUCAGUGGUGUCAGACCUUUUAAGCUAAAGCAAAAUCACACUUGGCAGCUGUGGGCAAACGCUUAUUUGAACACGAUUUAUGUGAGGUCCCUAUUGAAUUUAUUUAUUUAUUUAACCCACAGUUCUUAACUGAGGCCUGUAGAUAUGUAGAGCAAAUUGCAUGGUGGCAAAAAUCGCAGCUUAUCUCCUCGAGGGAGACUCCGCGUGAGACGGUUCCUAAGAAAAGAGAGUGAGGAAGAGAGCUAGGCUCUGGAUAAAUUUCUAAAGGGAAAAAUGAGAGAUUGAAAGAGGUGAUUAGGGCAAAGAGAGGGCUCCCAUUUUAAUCUCAUCUUUCCUUCAAAUCACAUAAAGCAAUCAGAAUGGCCCAGACAAAUAUAGUUUAUUUUUUAUCAUGACUUAGGAAAAUAGUAAAAGAUGUUGCUGGGGGGGGAAAAAUAAUGAAGAUUUGCGCAUCUUUCAGCUGAAAAUCACACGCUUUCACUUAGGUUUUUUUUUUUUUUUUAACUUGUGUGUCUUCUGAUGAAUGAACCUCCACACCCAGAAUUUUCAACAGAGCCCUUCCUGGCUUGAGAAUUCUGGAAGUUGAAGUCCAUAUACCUGGAGGGCAUCCCAAUUUAGAAAAACUGCCCUAAAUUUAGAGGGAGCAAUGGCUCAGUGGUUAAAAACGCUGAGCUUGUUGGCUGGAAAGUUGACAGCCCGGGUUUGAGACCCGAACAAUAUGUGAUGGAGUGAGCUCCCGACCCCGCCUCAGCUCCUGCCCGCCUACCAGUUCAAAAGCAUGCAAAUGCGAGUAGAUCAAUAGGUGCCAUUUUGAUGGGAAGGUAUUGGUGCUCCGUAACGUCAUCCUUGCCACAUGACUGCAAAAAUGUCUUUGGACAACACUUGGCUAAGAAACGGAGAAGAGCAUGGCCACUAGAAUUGACACAAUUGGACAGGGGAAACCUUUACCUUUCUUUUACCUGCUCUAAAUUUGUGUUGUUGUUUUGUAUCCCACUGUUAUUAUUUCUACAAAUAUUAUACCCUGCAUUUCUGUUAAGAGAGUAAGGAGGAAGGAGAGGACAGGGUUAUGAAAAACUGUAAAAGGGAGGGGGGGAAAUGAAGGCAAAAGUAUAAAUCAUGAUCCUGGGGACAACAGGUAGUUCAGGGCUGAGAAAAUACUUACAAAGUUAACCAGGCAGAGUUCCUUAAAAAUGGGGAAAUGGCUGCCUAUAUAUGGUUGUGCGUCCUAAAUCCUUUUUCGCCCACGAUGAGCCUGCUAUAUGGGUACAUCAGCAAGAACAUGACCUGGCUUUAAGCAUGCAUUUAUUUAAUUCAUUUAAGACUCAUUGACACCGUUCUUCUUUGCAGUCUUCCUCAUGAGGCGCGUUGCUCCUGUGUGCAUGCAUCUAAUUGGCUGAAAUCGGCAUGAAUUGAACCUUUUUGGGAUGGGAAGUGCUGCUGAACAGAUCCACAGCCUUGUGGGGUCCUGGGUGGGUGUACAUGGCAUUAGAAUAGAAUUCAUCAACGAAAAAGGAUCAAAACGCACGGCCACCUACUUACCCGAGGUUGCAAAGGAGCAAGGUCAUUGUUGGGUUUUAUCUCAUAUGAUCUGGUGAAGAAUUUAAACAUGCCUAGGAACUUAUAAUGCAGUAUUUGACCUUGCCCUGAUGUCAGAUGAUGGAGCAGUCCUUUAAUUGCUGGGACCAUAUUCAGACCAUAGAUUCCUUACUGAGGAAGGGAGGUUAUAAGGCUCCAAUCACAAACGAUUUCAGGAAAACAAUAAAACUGACCAGGUAUCGUAGUGAGAAGAUGACUGUGAGCUACACAGAAUACCUUGC